UUAUAAGGAGCUUUAGAGCAACUUAAUUUCGACUUAAGUAAUGAUUAUAUAG
rnacentral:tRNA from 1 species